rnacentral:rRNA from 1 species
GCCGCGUGCGGGAUGAGGCCUUCGGGUUGUAACCGCUUUCACCAGCCCUUUUCGGGGGUGUUCGGUACCUGGAGAAGAAGCACCGGUCUAACUACGAUGCCACGCAGCCGCGGCUGAUACGUCAAGGGUGCCGAGCGUUGUCCGGAAUUUAUUGGGCGUUAAAGGGCUCGUAGUGCGGUUGAUCGCGUCGGAAGUGAAAUCUUGGGGCUCAACCCUGAGCGUGAUUUCGAUACGGGUUGACUUGAGGAAGGUAGGGGAGAAUGAAAUUCCUGGUGGAGCGGUGGAAUGCGCAGAUAUCAGGAGGAACACCAGUGGCGAAGGCGGUUCUCUGGACCUUUCCUGACGCUGAGGAGCGAAAGCGUGGGGAGCAAACAGGCUUAGAUACCCUGGAUAGUCCACGCUGUAACAACGGUGGGUCACUAGGCUGUGGGGAUCCAUUACCACGGUAUUCCGUGACCGUAGCUAACGCAUUAAGUACCCCGCCUGGGGAGAUACGGCCGCAAGGCAUAAAACUCAAAUGGAAUUGACGGGGCCCCGCACAAGCGGC